UACGUAGGGUGCAAGCGUUGUCCGGAAUUAUUGGGCGUAAAGAGCUCGUAGGCGGUCUGUCGCGUCGGCUGUGAAAACUCGGGGCUCAACUCCGAGCUUGCAGUCGAUACGGGCAGGCUAGAGUUCGGCAGGGGAGGACUGGAAUUCCUGGUGUAGCGGUGGAAAUGCGCAGAUAUCAGGAGGAACACCGGUGGCGAAGGCGGGUCUCUGGGCCGAUACUGACGCUGAGGAGCGAAAGCGUGGGGAGCGAACAG
rnacentral:rRNA from 1 species